GGGGCAGUGGCCUAGUGGUAGAGCAUCUGCUUUGCAUGCUUAUGGUCCCAGGUUCAAUCCCUAUUGUUUCCA
rnacentral:tRNA from 1 species